rnacentral:rRNA from 1 species
CUACGGAGGGGGUUAGCGUUGUUCGGAAUUACUGGGCGUAAAGCGUACGUAGGCGGAUUAGUAAGUUAGGGGUGAAAUCCCGAGGCUCAACCUCGGAACUGCCUCUAAAACUGCUAGUCAUGAGUUCGAGAGAGGUGAGUGGAAUUCCUAGUGUAGAGGUGAAAUUCGUAGAUAUCAGGAGGAACACCAGUGGCGAAGGCGGCUCACUGGCUCGAUACUGACGCUGAGGUACGAAAGUGUGGGGAGCAAACAGGAUUAGAAACCCUAGUAGUCC